CCCUUAGAUGUUCUGGGCGGCCCGCGCACUACAAUGGCGUGUGCAGCGAGUGCCGAAGUAGAGUUUUCCGAGGUAUUCUUGCACUGCUCGUUUUGAUGGGGAUAGACCCUUGCAACUGUUGGUUUUGAACGAGGAAUUCCUUGUAAGCAUGGUUUAUCAUCCGACGCUGAAUGCGUCCCUGCCCUUUGUACACACCGCCCGUCGCUCCUACCGAUGAGUCGUCCGGUGAAGUUCGUAGACCUCGUGAUCGCGGAUCACUGGGGGAAGCAAAAUGAACCUCGCGGUUUAGAGGAAGGAGAAGUCGUAACA
rnacentral:rRNA from 1 species